GAUGAACGCUGGCGGCGUGCCUAAUACAUGCAAGUCGAGCGAACAGAUGAGGAGCUUGCUCCUCUGACGUUAGCGGCGGACGGGUGAGUAACACGUGGAUAACCUACCUAUAAGACUGGGAUAACUUCGGGAAACCGGAGCUAAUACCGGAUAAUAUAUUGAACCGCAUGGUUCAAUAGUGAAAGACGGUUUUGCUGUCACUUAUAGAUGGAUCCGCGCCGCAUUAGCUAGUUGGUAAGGUAACGGCUUACCAAGGCGACGAUGCGUAGCCGACCUGAGAGGGGGAUCGGCCACACUGGAACUGAGACACGGUCCAGACUCCUACGGGAGGCAGCAGUAGGGAAUCUUCCGCAAUGGGCGAAAGCCUGACGGAGCAACGCCGCGUGAGUGAUGAAGGUCUUCGGAUCGUAAAACUCUGUUAUUAGGGAAGAACAAAUGUGUAAGUAACUAUGCACGUCUUGACGGUACCUAAUCAGAAAGCCACGGCUAACUACGU
rnacentral:rRNA from 1 species